UUUUUCAAGAGAACGGAAUUCUAACAUAAUGGAACAAAACAGAGAUUUAGAUACUGAUACAUUAAUGCUAGAAGUAACACGUAAUAAUGAAAUUUAAAAAAUAUAAAUAAAUAUAAUAUAAUUGACCAAAUGCAUAAAGUAUUUCUUCUUAGCGGAUAAAUAUUAAAUACGAAAUUAUGUUUAAAUAAUAUUUUAUUUAUAAUAAGCAUGGUAAAAAUAUAUCUUAACAAUUGUAUCAACUAAAUAUGUAUCUUAACAAAUAAGCCAUUUGAUGAAGACUGUGCUACUAUAAACCCUUCUUUGCAUCUAAUGAUUCAUUAGAAGCGUGUAGUAAAUUCAAACACAUUAACACAGUAUCACAGGGAAUCUGAACCACAGAUACUAGUAACUAACACUAACCCACAAUUUUUCCAUUUUUCUUGCAUUCUUAUGCCAUGACCCCUGACCCUAGUUCUUGAAGCUUAGCAUAUGGAAUUGUUCAUUCUAAAGUAUUUAAAAUUACAGAUACAUUCAUCACUCUAAGCAAAAUAACUAAACACAUUUCGCAACUUAGAUGCUGUUCAAAAAUUCAAAUAACUUCUUUCUUUCUACAUUAUUGCUGGCUGUCUUUAACUUAUCUCUUUAUUUUUCAGUAUACUAGAACAUUUAGGAUGAUAGAAAACUUUCAUAAAAUUGUGUAUAUUCAAUGCGUUAUUAAAAAAUAAUUAAAAAAA